rnacentral:rRNA from 1 species
ACGAGAAAUCUUGCGUGAAGCAGCGGGGCCCAUCCCGUAAGGCUAAAUACUCCCGAGAGACCGAUAGCGAACCAGUACCGUGAGGGAAAGGUGAAAAGAACCCCGAGCAGGGGAGUGAAAUAGACCCUGAACCCGUCUGCCUACAAGCGGUCGGAGCGUCGUAAUGACGUGACGGCGUGCCUUUUGCAUAAUGAACCUACGAGUUACCUUCCCCGGCAAGGUUAAGUUCUUGAGGAACGGAGCCGAAGCGAAAGCGAGUCUGAACAGGGCGCCAAGUCGGGGGGGGUAGACGCGAAACCGAGUGAUCUACCCUUGGCCAGGUUGAAGGUUGGGUAACACCAACUGGAGGACCGGAUGGGUAAGCGUUGAAAAGCUUUCCAAUGAGCUGAGGGUAGGGGUGAAAGGCUAAUCAAACUCGGAGAUAGCUCGUACUCCCCGAAAUGCAUUUAGGUGCAGCCUCUUUAUAGUAUAUCGUGAGGUAGAGCGACUGAUUGGAUGCGAGGGCUUCACCGCCUAUCAAGUCCAGAUAAACUCCGAAUGCGCGAUAUAUAUUUACAGGGAGUGAGGGCGCGGGUGCUAAGGUCCGUGUCCGAGAGGAGAAGAAUCCAGACCACCGGCUAAGGCCCCCAAAUGAUCGUUAAGUUGAACUAACGAGGUCGGAUCGCAGAGACAGCUAGGAUGUUGGCUUGGAAGCAGCCAUUCAUUUAAAGAGUGCGUAACAGCUCACUAGUCGAGCGAUCUGGCGUGGAUAAUAAUCGGGCAUAAACGAUCUGCCGAAGCCGUGGAUGUCGCAAGACAUGGUAGGGGAGCAUUCCAUGCCGCGUCGAAGAUGAGGGAUGACCCUUGUUGGAGCGCAUGGAAAAGCAAAUGUAGGUAUGAGUAACGAUAAGGGGGGCGAGAAACCCCCCCGCCGAAAGACCAAGGUUUCCUGAUCAACGCUAAUCGGAUCAGGGUGAGUCGGGACCUAAGGCAAAGCCGAACGGCGCCGCCGAUGGAAGAAUGGGUUAAUAUUCCCAUACUGCCUCAUGGAGUGACGUGGAGACGGAGAAGUGACAGUCCUGCCGGCUGACGGAAUAGCCGGUUGAAGGGUGUAGAUAUUGAUUCCCGUAGGCAAAUCCGCGGGGAGAGUCGAACCUGAGAGUAUACGGAGCGCUUGCGCAACGUAAUAUGGACGUAACCAUGCUCCCGAGAAAAUCCGCUAAACUUAUCCAUGCGGCACCCGUACCGUAAACGGACACACGUGGUCGGGUUGAGAAUACUGAGGCGCUCGAGUGAUUCACGGUUAAGGAACUAGGCAAAUUGACCCUGUAACUUCGGGAUAAAGGGUCCUCGUCGUAAGGCGAGGCGCAGAGAAUAGGUCCAGGCAACUGUUUAACAAAAACACAUGGCUGUGCUAAAUGGAAACAUGAUGUAUACAGCCUGACACCUGCCCGGUGCCGGAAGGUUAAGAGGAGAUGUCAUCCGCGAGGAGAAGCGUUGAAUUGAAGCCCC